GACGAACGCUGGCGGCGUGCCUAAUACAUGCAAGUCGAACGCAGUGGGGACGGGUGAGUAACACGUGGGUAACCUCCCAUCAGAGGGGAUACCACUUGGAAACAGGUGCUAAACCGAUACUGAUGGAUGGACCCGCGUUGCAUUAGCUAGUUGGUGAGGUAACGGCUAACCAAGGCCACGAUGCAUAGCUGACCUGAGAGGCGGAUCGGCCACACGGGGACUGAGACACGGUCCAGACUCCGAAGGGAGGCAGCAGUGGGGAAUCUUCGACAAUGGACGAAAGUCUGACGGAGCAACGCCGCGUGAGUGAAGAAGGUUUUCGGAUCGUAAAACACUGUUGUUAGAGAAGCGGUAUCUAACCAGAAAGCCACGGCUAACUACGUGCCAGCAGCCGCGGUAAUAC
rnacentral:rRNA from 1 species